AUGCCGUGGCAAGGUUGAAAUGGUGAGGUAAGAGCUCACCGGGGUUAUGGAGACAUAACCGCCGUGUAAACCCCAUCCGGAGCAAGACUGAAACAGGCUUUUGUGAGGCUGCCCGUCUCCGCCUUCAGGUAAGUCGCUUGAUGUCGCAAGCAAUUGCGAUACUAGAUGGAUGAUCGUCUAAUACAGAACCCGGCUUAUGGUUUGCCCAUUAUU
rnacentral:RNase_P_RNA from 1 species